GGGGAGGAUAGCUUGUUGUAGAUCUCUGUGUACUUGAGGCCUUCCCAAGAGCACUAUGUGUUAACAGAAAUACUGGUAAGAAAAGCUGCUGCCUAGGAGAAACAGCAAUAAACUGCAGCGUCAACAAACAAAGUCUAACUGCUGAAAAGAAGUUCACCUACAGUCAAGUUAUAAAGACUGAAGACAGCAAGUUUUACCGAACAUGAGGAGUCUGCCAGAAAGGAACAAAAAUUAUGUGGCUACUUCAGGCAUUGUGUGUUUUUUUUCCCUCAUGCCCUGGAAAGAGAUGUUGCUGAAUGACUCUGGAAGAUAUACCAUUAAAGCAAACAAGGCAAAAACAAUUGUAACACUGGAAGGACAUGCUUCUGUCUUCUGCUUCUGUCAGUGAAAUUUUAUAAAACAGCAGGAAUGUUAGGCUUUAUUAAUGCAUAUGGUCAAGCACACAAAACUGCUGAAGAUUUCCUUAUCUUUUAUUUUAUAUGAUACAUGCAAGAUAUGAUUAGAUAUGUGAAAUAACAGGAACAUUUUCUAAUGUUUGAAGCCAAUUAGAAAAAUAUUUCUUGCCUUUCAUUUUGAUAUCACAGGUUUCAAAAUGAGAAUUUUUCCAUUAUUAUCAGCUUUACAGGUCAUGCAGGUAACUGAAAUAGCGAACUGGAACACUGCCAAUGCAUUAAGAAUCUUUUCUUAUGAGUAUGGCUUCUGUGUUACUGCACUGAAGUUUUAUACGGGGAAACUAAUAUAAAUUGAAUAAUCAAAAUGAUACUAUUUCACAGUGCGCUGAUACUUUACCUAUUUCCCCCAGUCACGUAGGCUAGGCAUAGGGACUCAUUUCUAAUGAAUCUGAAGGUUACUAGGUUGGCCACAAAUGUAACAUGUUAGAACUGUGGCUACCUUAGCAUCUCGUUGGUGAGAGGAACAAAAAUUAUAAAGAUGUAAAGGAAAAUUGACACGCUGUAGAAUCUAAACUAAUUGCUGUUGUUUUUUUAAGGACAAAAAAGAACAACGUGAGUAAUUGGAGAAAAAUGACAGCAGAAUUAAAAAGCUGAAAUGAGAUAUGAAAACAGUAAUCCUAAAAGCAAAAUGUUUGUGUUUUGUAUGUUAAAGCAAUAUAUCAUGUAGGAAGUAAUGCUGGAUAACUGGAGAAAGUAGACAUUAAAAAUAAACUAGCUAUCUAGUGAGAUCAAUUCCUGGGGAAAAAGAAAAGGAACAAGCUCACCUACAAAUCUAUGAACAUGAAAAAUCUAGGACAAAAAAUAAUCACCCAGAAAAGUGUUACUCUGAAGAUUUAAAAUGGGUUUUGAAAUUCAGAGCAGUCAUCUUUGCAAUGUUACUUAAUAAGCAUAGGUCAUUCCAGAUACCACUUCUCAAAACAAUGCGGUACUGUGGUAGAAUAUGUUGUAAUAUGGAAAAGUGUUGUCAGCAAGUAAACACUGGUAACAGAACUUACUAAGUGGUAAUAGAGUUAAAUGUUGAGGGCAAACAUAAGCUACCUGAAAAUGAAAACCUUUCAAUAGACAGGAAUAAUAUAUAGGGACUGACUAUAGGAAGUGGCAGAAGGCUCCAGAAUGAAGUAUUAAGAACCCAACUGAAUAAAACAUCAGGAUGAUGUACUCUGUACCACCACCUGAUAUACACUGGGGAGAGGGGAGCAUGUCCUCAGGCCUCAACUGUUUCUGAUUUCUUCAACUUUGUUUAAAGUUUGCAGAGAGCACCUACCAUUU